UUAACUAUUAUAUAGUACUCAGACAUCACUAAAAACAGAGUUUGUUUCCUCUGGCAGGCACGCACGUACCGAAGCCCGUGGUGUUUCCACGGCCUGCCAAAGCAACGAAGGUAUAAUAUUCAAGGGUGGGAGAUCUACCCGUGAGGGCAUGAACUCUGUAAUGAUCCCUCCGCAGGUUCACCUACGGAGA
rnacentral:misc_RNA from 1 species